CCUACGGGAGGCUGCAGUGGGGAAUAUUGCGCAAUGGGCGAAAGCCUGACGCAGCGACGCCGCGUGAGGGAUGAAGGUCUUCGGAUCGUAAACCUCUGUCAGCAGGGAAGAACGGUCACGGUGCUAAGCAGCAGUGAAUGGACGGUACCGGCAAAGGAAGCACCGGCUAACGCCGGGCCCGCAGGCGCGGUAAUACGGAGGGUGCGCGCGUGAAGAGGAAUUGCUGGGCGGAACGCGCGGGGAGGCGGUAUGUCAAGUCCAGGGUGCAAUCCCCGCGCCCCACGUGGGAACUGCCUUUGAAACUGGCAACCUGGAGUGUGUGAGAGGUUAGUGGACUUCCCGGUGUAGCAGUGACAUCCGUAGAUAUCUGGCGGAACCUCAGUUGCGACGGCGACUCUCUGGCCCCUACCUGACGCUGAGGCUCGAAAGCGUGGGUAGCAAACAGGAUUAGAUACCCGGGUAGUC
rnacentral:rRNA from 1 species